rnacentral:rRNA from 1 species
GGGGUCCUACGGGGGGCAGCAGUGAGGAAUAUUGGUCAAUGGGCGGGAGCCUGAACCAGCCAAGUCGCGUGAGGGAAGACGGUCCUACGGAUUGUAAACCUCUUUUGCCGGGGAGCAACGGGGUCCUUGCGAGAUCCCAAUGAGAGUACCCGGAGAAAAAGCAUCGGCUAACUCCGUGCCAGCAGCCGCGGUAAUACGGAGGAUGCGAGCGUUAUCCGGAUUUAUUGGGUUUAAAGGGUGCGUAGGCGGGCUGUUACGUCAGCGGUCA